rnacentral:snRNA from 1 species
GUGCUUGCUUUGACAGCACACAUAAAAAAUGAAUGGAGCGACAGAGAUUACCACGGCCCCUGCACAGAGGUGACACCCAAAUUCAUGACGGGUCCCAUAUUCAA